UACGGAGGGGGCUAGCGUUGUUCGGAAUUAUUGGGCGUAAAGCGCACGUAGGCGGCUUUGCAAGUUAGAGGUGAAAGCCCGGGGCUCAACUCCGGAAUUGCCUUUAAAACUGCAUCGCUAGAAUUGUGGAGAGGUAAGUGGAAUUCCGAGUGUAGAGGUGAAAUUCGUAGAUAUUCGGAAGAACACCAGUGGCGAAGGCGACUUACUGGACACAUAUUGACGCUGAGGUGCGAAAGCGUGGGGAGCAAACAGG
rnacentral:rRNA from 1 species